rnacentral:ncRNA from 1 species
GAUAAAUGGCUUGUGGCAGCCAAAUGCUUUUUGAUCCUUCGAUGUCGGCUCUUCUUAUCAUUGAAGCAGAAUUCACAAAGUGUUGGAUUGUUCACCCACUAAAAAGGAACGUGAGCUGGGUUUAGAGGAACU